UGCAGGAAGAGAGAAAAUAUUAGCUGCUUUGAAGUCUAAUGGAACUGACAGGACCAGACAGCAUUGAUUAAUGUCGAGAGGAUGUUGGUUACAGAACACUGCCUCUAAAAGAAGUCUUUGUAGUCUUCAGUAAGUUAAAUGCAAGUCUUUAUUAACUAUUUGUAAUUAUAUACAUAUAUACAGUAAAGGGUACAGUUAAAGAGCUUUUGCCAUCUCACUGCAUGUGGGCACAGACUGCUUCAAUAUCUAAUGAGUCAUGAAUGGUGCUGAACAUUGUGCAGUGAACAUCCCGACCUUAUGAUGUGGGGAAGGUCAUUGAUGAAGCAGCUGGAGAUAGUUGGGCCUAGGACACUGCCCUGAGGAACUCUUGCAGUGAUGUCUUGGGACUGAGAUGACUGACCUCCAACAACUCACAGUGAAUACUAAUGGCUGGAACUUUUCAUUGCAGGAUCAGGUGCACGGCUGACUGGACCUUGCCUGAAAUUGCGUGAGAAAACAUUGGGCGCGUGUCCCAAAAUCAUCAUGCCGUUGGACCAGAUUACACUUGGCGGAUGUCCGUGGGAGUUGGAAACGCGCCCGCCAACAAUUAAAUGGGCAAUUACAAAGCCGGCAAUAAAACCGACCUGUAUUGCACUCCUCACUUUCCUUCAAGUGAAUGUUCUUCACUUGAUUGGCACCCCAUCCACCAUCUUCAACAUCCACUCCCUCCAACACUGACGCACAGUGGCAGCAAUGAGAACCACCUACAAGAUGCAAAGCAGCGUCUCACCAAGACUCCUUUGACAGCCUCAAACCUGCAACCUCCACCACCUAGACGGACAAGAGCAGCAGGUUCUUGGGAACACAACCGUUCCCCUUCAAGUCACCAACCACCUCAACUUGGAACUAUAUCACCGUUGGCUGGGUUCAGAUCCUAGAACAGCCUGUUCAGUAGCACUGUGAGUGUACCUACACCACAUGGACUGCAGCGGUUCAAGAAGGCUGCUCACCACCACCUUCUCAAGGGAAGUUAGGGAUAGGCAAUAAACGCUGGCCUUACAAACCAUACUUGCCUAAGCAGAAAAUAAGCUCCUUUCUGUUUUUUCUAGGGGCCAUACCUUUCCCUUAGGGGCCCUUAAGAAGAUUUUCAUGACCAAUGUUCCAAUGAAUUAAUUCAUGACACUGAUUGCAAUCAAGUUUCCCCUGGUCGAAUGAACAUGAAAUGAAAGACCUGUGCUUUAAUUCAAUUUUAAGAUUGGUUUGAGAAAACUGUUGCUAAAUCCAAGCGUAACAAGCUAUCGCUGGACCAAAAAUAUUAAACUCAUUAAUGAAGGUGCUGCACUCCUGCCAAAAACAUCCCUGCUAAAGAUUCCUCCUGUCCACAGUAAAUUCCAAGGUGUGGAUUCAGUUUAUGGUCAUCUAUGUAUAACCUGGGUAAAACUAGAUACAGUGAAUUAACCAUUUGGGCAAUAGGAAAAUAAAGUGAGACCCCACGGUUUCUGAAAUUCUCAGGCUUCUCUCUGUAAUUCUAAUCCUUUUGUAUGUGCAGAGAGUUGAUAGCUGGAAACACAGCUGUGGCAAUGCACAGAGAAAAUGUCACAAGAACAUAUUAGUGUCACAUCCAAAACAUCAGCAAGAUAUUCACUCAACAUUAUCAGCCCACUGCCAGGAAUGAUAGAGGUAAGGGAAAAUGACUGGUUGGACCCAGAAAUCGUUUGCCAAGGGGAGCAUUGAGGCAGAGAACAUUGCAUAUUUUAAGGGAAAAUUGCACAAGUAUUGAAAAUUACAAGAAUGUGGGAGAAAACAUGGUAAUGAAAUUAAUUUUAGAUUGGCCUAGCAAAGGGCAAGUAUAGACACAAUGGGUCAAAUGGCCUUCUUCUGUGCCAUAGAUUUCCAUGAUACUAUUACCACUUGUGAAGUUACAAAUGUUUCUCUCCUUCUGA